CAUAUCAAUAAGCGGAGGAAAAGAAACUAACAAGGAUUCCCCUAGUAACUGCGAGUGAAGCGGGAUAAGCUCAAAUUUAAAAUCUGGCGUGCCUCUGGCCGUCCGAGUUGUAGUCUGGAGAAGUGUUUUCCGCAUUGAACCGUGUACAAGUCCCUUGGAACAGGGCGUCAUAGAGGGUGAGAAUCCCGUCUUUGACACGGACUAUCAGUGCUUUGUGAUGCGCUCUCAACGAGUCGAGUUGUUUGGGAAUGCAGCUCAAAAUGGGUGGUAAAUUCCAUCUAAAGCUAAAUAUAGGCGAGAGACCGAUAGCGAACAAGUACCGUGAGGGAAAGAUGAAAAGCACUUUGGAAAGAGAGUUAAACAGUACGUGAAAUUGCUGAAAGGGAAACGCUUGAAGUCAGUCGCGUCUGCCAGGACUCAGCCUUGCCUCACAGCUUGGUGCACUUUCUGGUUUGACGGGUCAGCAUCGAUUUCGAUCGUCAGAUAAAGUCGAAGGGAAUGUGGCACCUUUACGGGUGUGUUAUAGCCCUAUCGAUCACAUAUGUCGAUCGUGAUCGAGGAUCGCAGCACGCCCUUUGUGGCUGGGACAUUUAUGUCUACAUUACGUGCUUAGGAUGCUGAC
rnacentral:rRNA from 1 species